ACAGCAGCGCCACCUGCACCAUCUCCUCUAGUUCAAUGUGGUCGUAACUGUUCCUGAGUCCCUUAUCGACAAGCACGUCGAGCUUCUUCUCCUGGUGCAUCUUCUUCACCUGAGCAGAAGCCAGUGCCCAUAUAAGACCUCAGUCUGCCCGGUAAUCAGCUCGAGCAGCAGGAUCCCGAAGCCGAAGACGUCGGUUUUCUCAGAUGACUGGCCUGUGGAGAGGUACUCCGGGGCAAUGUGUCCUACGGUGCCCCUCACAGCUGUGGUGACAUGUGAAUCACGGUGAUCCAGGAGCUUGGCAAGCCCAAAAUCUCCGACGAUUGCUUCACAGAAGUCAUCAAGCAGUACGUUUGCUGCCUUUACAUCCCUGUGGAUGAUCUUGGGAUCACACUGCUCGUGCAGGUAUAGCAGGCCUCUUGCCGCACCGAGUGCUAUCCCCUUUCUGGUGAUCCAGUCCAGUGGUGGCUUCCCUGUAAUUGGUUAGGUGAGAACAAAGUUAGCAUUGGUCAUGUGGGAUUCUAAGUUCUGAAGACCUGCCUAAAAGAGAAGAAAUAUAAAUGCAAGAACCAAAUGCAAAUAUUUUAGUGUUCUGUUCAUUGAGUUGAAGUUUGUGAUGAUCAA